rnacentral:rRNA from 1 species
AACGUAGGAGACAAACGUUAUCCGGAGUUACUGGGCGUAAAGGGCGUGUAGGUGGUUUCGUAAGUCUGGCGUGAAAUUCUCGUCGUCUAACCGAGGCAGGUCGGUCGGAUACUGCGGAACUAGAGGACGGUAGAGGCGUGUGGAAUUCCGGGUGUAGUGGUGAAAUGCGUAGAGAUCCGGAGGAACACCAGUGGCGAAGGCGACACGCUGGGCCGUACCUGGACACUGAUGCGCGGACAGCAUGGGGAGCAAACAGG